UCAGCAGAGGACCUUGUAACAUAAGAAAAACAACUAAUGGCACUUAGAUGAAUCAAUGAAAAAAAAUAAAACUGUCCUUAUCAUAAAGCCCAGUCUACCCAGAGAAUUUACUAUACAAUGACAGUAAAAUAACUAAACAAUGGCAAUUUUAAAAAGAUCUAUGAAUAGAACUUGAAUGUUUCAAAAAUAUCAAUUGAACCAAAUCUCUGCCAUUUCCUCUCAAAGAACAUUUAACUCUCAGUCCCAAACUUCU